rnacentral:rRNA from 1 species
ACGGGUGAGUAACGCGUAUCCAACCUGCCCACCACUUGGGGAUAACCUUGCGAAAGUAAGACUAAUACCCAAUGAUAUCUCUAGAAGACAUCUGAAAGAGAUUAAAGAUUUAUCGGUGAUGGAUGGGGAUGCGUCUGAUUAGCUUGUUGGCGGGGUAACGGCCCACCAAGGCAACGAUCAGUAGGGGUUCUGAGAGGAAGGUCCCCCACAUUGGAACUGAGACACGGUCCAAACUCCUACGGGAGGCAGUAGUGAGGAAUAUUGGUCAAUGGACGAGAGUCUGAACCAGCCAAGUAGCGUGCAGGAUGACGGCCCUAUGGGUUGUAAACUGCUUUUAUAAGGGAAUAAAGUGAGUCUCGUGAGACUUUUUGCAUGUACCUUAUGAAUAAGGACCGGCUAAUUCCGUGCCAGCAGCCGCGGUAAUACGGAAGGUCCGGGCGUUAUCCGGAUUUAUUGGGUUUAAAGGGAGCGUAGGCCGGAGAUUAAGCGUGUUGUGAAAUGUAGACGCUCAACGUCUGCACUGCAGCGCGAACUGGUUUCCUUGAGUACGCACAAAGUGGGCGGAAUUCGUGGUGUAGCGGUGAAAUGCUUAGAUAUCACGAAGAACUCCGAUUGCGAAGGCAGCUCACUGGAGCGCA